rnacentral:sRNA from 1 species
GCCAAGUGUGGUGGCGCUUGCCUGUAAUCCCAGCAGCUUGGGAGGCUGAGGCAGGAGGAUCAGGAGUUCAAAGCCAGCCUCAGCAACUUAGGCCCUAAGCAAUUCAGCAAGACCCUGCUUCUA